GACGAACGCUGGCGGCGUGCUUAACACAUGCAAGUCGAACGGAAAGGCCCUGCUUGCAGGGUACUCGAGUGGCGAACGGGUGAGUAACACGUGGGUGAUCUGCCCUGCACUUCGGGAUAAGCCUGGGAAACUGGGUCUAAUACCGGAUAGGAGCCAUUUUUAGUGUGAUGGUUGGAAAGUUUUUUCGGUGUAGGAUGAGCUCGCGGCCUAUCAGCUUGUUGGUGGGGUAAUGGCCUACCAAGGCGGCGACGGGUAGCCGGCCUGAGAGGGUGGACGGCCACAUUGGGACUGAGAUACGGCCCAGACUCCUACGGGAGGCAGCAGUGGGGAAUAUUGCACAAUGGGCGCAAGCCUGAUGCAGCGACGCCGCGUGGGGGAGGACGGCCUUCGGGUUGUAAACUCCUUUCGCUAGGGACGAAGCUUUUUGUGACAGUACCUAGAUAAGAAGCACCGGCUAACUACGUG
rnacentral:rRNA from 1 species